UACGUAGGGUGCAAGCGUUGUCCGGAAUUAUUGGGCGUAAAGAGCUCGUAGGCGGCUUGUCACGUCGACUGUGAAAACCCGGGGCUCAACUCCGGACUCGCAGUCGAUACGGGCUGGCUUGAGUGCGGUAGGGGAGACUGGAACUCCUGGUGUAGCGGUGGAAUGCGCAGAUAUCAGGAGGAACACCCAUGGCGAAGGCAGCAAACUGGGCAUCAUCUGACGCUGAGGCGCGAAAGCGUGGGUAGCAAACAGG
rnacentral:rRNA from 1 species